rnacentral:rRNA from 1 species
CCUACGGGUGGCAGCAGUGGGGAAUAUUGCGCAAUGGGCGAAAGCCUGAUGCAGCGACGCCGCGUGAGGGAUGAAGGUCUUCGGAUCGUAAACCUCUGUCAGCAGGGAAGAACGGUCACUGUGCUAAUCAGCAGUGAAUUGACGGUACCUGCAAAGGAAGCACCGGAUAACUCAGGGCCAGCAGCCGCGGUAAUACGGAGGGUGCGAGCGUGAAUCGGAAUUACUGGGCGUAAAGGGCUCGUAGGCGGGAUGUCAAGUCAAGGGUGAAAUCCCCGGGCUCAACGUGGGGACUGCCUUUGAAACUGGCAGACUGGAGUGUGUGAGAGGAUGGCGGAAUUCCUGGUGUAGGAGUGAAAUCCGUAGAUAUCUGGAGGAACAUCAGUGGCGAAGGCGACUAUCUGGCACAUAACUGACGCUGAGGAGCGAAAGCGUGGGUAGCAAACAGGAUUAGAUACCCCUGUAGUC